AUUGAACGCUGGCGGCAUGCCUUACACAUGCAAGUCGAACGGUAACGGGUCCUUCGGGAUGCCGACGAGUGGCGAACGGGUGAGUAAUAUAUCGGAACGUGCCCAGUAGUGGGGGAUAACUGCUCGAAAGAGCAGCUAAUACCGCAUACGACCUGAGGGUAAAGGGGGGGAUCGCAAGACCUCUCGCUAUUGGAGCGGCCGAUAUCAGAUUAGCUAGUUGGUGGGGUAAAGGCCUACCAAGGCAACGAUCUGUAGUUGGUCUGAGAGGACGAUCCCCCACACUGGUACUGAGACACGGACCAGACUCCUACGGGAGGCAGCAGUGAGGAAUAUUGGUCAAUGGGCGCAAGCCUGAACCAGCCAUCCCGCGUGAAGGAAGAAUGCGCUACGCGUUGUAAACUUCUUUUCCAGGGGGAGAAUAAUCCUGUCGUGACAGGACUUGACGGUACUCUGGGAAUAAGCAUCGGCUAACUCCGUG
rnacentral:rRNA from 1 species